AACCAAUGAUGAAAAUGAUUCUGCCAUAUGAACUCUACUGAUUUCAACAUCAACCGUUCCACUUAUCUCUGAGGCU